rnacentral:rRNA from 1 species
GUGGGGAAUCUUGCACAAUGGGCGAAAGCCUGAUGCAGCGACGCCGCGUGGAGGAUGAAGGCCUUCGGGUUGUAAACUCCUUUUCUUGGGAAAGAUGAUGACGGUACCCAAGGAAUAAGCCACGGCUAACUCUGUGCCAGCAGCCGCGGUAAGACAGAGGUGGCAAGCGUUGUUCGGAAUUACUGGGCUUAAAGGGCGAGUAGGCGGUGGAGCAAGUCUGAGGUGGAAUCCUAUGGCUUAACCAUAGAACUGCCUUAGAAACUGCUUUACUUGAGUCAGUGAGGGGAGGGCGGAAUUCCUGGUGUAGCGGUGAAAUGCGUAGAUAUCAGGAGGAAGGCCUGUGGCGAAAGCGGCCCUCUGGCACUGUACUGACGCUGAGGCGCGAAAGCGUGGGUAGCAAACAGGAUUAGAUACCCGAGUAGUCC